CAUAGAGAACUCACCAAUAAAGAGAAAAUGGCAUCAAAUCAGCCAACGCUGGAGGAGCAAGCUGGAGAAACUUGCUAAUAUAGAUGAAAGUGAGGUUUAUAGAUUGAAGAAUCUUACACUUUGUGUAAGCCCUGAAUUCCAGAUAGCUAAAGGAAGUGAUGGAACAGAGGUGUAUCUUGGCCUGAGGGAUGAUGGCACAGAGGUAGCAGUCAAACGAAUGCUUAAGUCCAAUUAUCAAGACCUCAAAAAUGAGGAGGAGUUUUUACGGCUUCCCAAGCUUGACAAUCCUUGUAUUGUUAGAUAUGUGGACUUUGCAGAGGAUGAGAAUUUUGGAUAUCUUGUCCUUCAACUUUGUGAAUACACACUGGAGGAAUAUAUCCAAAGCCAAUUACCAGAAAAUAGCUUUCAACAGCAGGCUGUCCUGAAGGAAAUUGUAAAGGAAGUGCUAUGUAGCCUUGAAGUUCUUCAUAGUCAAGAUACCAAAGUGCUCCAUCGGGACAUCAAACCCCAGAAUGUUUUGAUAGAUAUAAUUGGAAAGGCAAGAUUAGCUGAUUUUGGCAUAAGUCGAAGGCUGAAUGUGGGUCAAACAACUUUGCGCACUAGUCCUGCUGGAACAAAGUGCUGGAAAGCCAAAGAGACUAUUGAAGAGGACAGUAAUAGUGGCUACAAGAGGAGUUCUGAUAUCCAGGUUGCAGGAAUGUUAGUGUAUUACAUCCUCUCUCGUGGACACCAUCCUUUUGGUAAAGGUG